rnacentral:rRNA from 1 species
GACGAAGGGCAUGAGUGUUACCCGUUUUGAUUGGACGUAAAGGGUAUGUAGGCUGCUGUUGUUAAUUUUUGACCGAAAACGCAGAGUGUUCCUAUGCGACGGUCUUUUAUAAGCACAGCUUGUGAUAGGGAGUGGUUGGAGUAAUUUCUUGCGUAAGGGUAGAAUCUAAUCAGACAAGAACGAACACCAGCUAGCGUAGGCGUCUUUCUAGCCCCAUCAGACGCUGAGGUACGGAAGCUUAGGUAGCAAACAGA